rnacentral:rRNA from 1 species
GCACUGGGAGGAAUGUGAUUCGAUUUUUAUUUAUUUUUUUAGUAGUAUAUACUUUUAAGUCCAUCUUUAAAAAGGUGUUAAAACUUUUAGCCGAAAAAAAAAAUUACUGUAACUCGCCUUAAUUACUUACUUAUGGGCUGCACUUUGAUUUGUAUUUUCCUUUAAGGAAGGGGGAGAAUUUGCCUCUGGCAAAUCCUCGACAACGGUAUACAAGCUAUCUUAAGUAAGGAGUAUUUACUUGGUGGUUGUCAAUUACAUGGUAAGUUCCCCUAAAAAGUCCACACAGCCGCCAUAAUAUUUAAGUUUGGACCUAAUAAUAAGUAUUAAUCCCUGCCCUAUAAGUUUAGGUUCCAUAUAACUGGGUAUCUAAUCCAGGUUUAUAUGUUGGAAUUUUAUGAGACGAAUAAUAUAGUUAAAGCUUCAAGCAUUAAUAGUAUUUCACUACAUAUAAAUUUUAUCUAUAUAUCUACAACUAAUGACAAUAAAUAUAAACUAGUCUAUUAGGUUUGACCGCGGUUGCUGGCACCUAAUAAACCUAGACUAAAUAGUUAGCUAAAUUUAAAUUUCUUUAAUUUAUUAAUAUUUUUAACUGAAAAAUUAUCUGUAGUUCAUAUUAUACUAUAUUAUAUGUUUACAUGGUCAUCAGAUUAAAGUGAUUUCUUUAAGGGGGUAUUUACCAUUUUAGA